CUCCCACAGGCCAAUGAGUGCCAGGAGCGCCCUGUUGAGUGUAAGUUCUGCAAACUGGACAUGCAGCUCAGCAAGCUGGAGCUCCACGAGUCCUACUGUGGCAGCCGGACAGAGCUCUGCCAAGGCUGUGGCCAGUUCAUCAUGCACCGCAUGCUCGCCCAGCACAGAGAUGUCUGUCGGAGUGAACAGGCCCAGCUCGGGAAAGGGGAAAGAAUUUCAGCUCCUGAAAGGGAAAUCUACUGUCAUUAUUGCAACCAAAUGAUUCCAGAAAAUAAGUAUUUCCACCAUAUGGGUAAAUGUUGUCCAGACUCAGAGUUUAAGAAACACUUUCCUGUUGGAAAGCCAAAAAUUCUUCCUUCAUCUCUUCCAAGUCAAGUUGCUGAAAAUCAAACUUCCACGAUGGAGAAAGAUGUUCGUCCAAAGACAAGAAGUAUAAAUAGAUUUCCUCUUCAUUCUGAAAGUUCAUCAAAGAAAGCACCAAGAAGCAAAAACAAAACCUUGGAUCCACUUUUGAUGUCAGAGCCCAAGCCCAGGACCAGCUCCCCUAGAGGAGAUAAAGCAGCCUAUGACAUUCUGAGGAGAUGUUCUCAGUGUGGCAUCCUGCUUCCCCUGCCGAUCCUAAAUCAACAUCAGGUACUCAGCCUCUGUUCUCUGCUUACCUUUCUGGGAACCAUCCGCACAGUGUCUUAAAAAAAUCCAAGACCUGAAAUUCACAAAUGUUGUGGCUGAAAAGGCCGUUUUCUCUGACUCCCACUUCUCUGGGUGCCCAAAUGCACUAUCUCGUAGCACUUACCACCUGGUUUAUUUGCAUCACCUCCGAGAGACUGAGUCACCUUUGACUCAAGCCAGGACUUUGAAGGUAGAGCCAGGUCCCUCUUCUCUGUGUCUCCAGCUUCUAGGCCAGGGAUUGACUUGGAGCAACUGCUCCAAAACUGUGGAGUAAAUGAAUGAAGCAGAGGAUACCCAGUCUAUCUCUCUCAUGGUGUAGAUAUGGCACUGAGGCCCA
rnacentral:lncRNA from 1 species